rnacentral:rRNA from 1 species
UGGGGAAUUUGGACAAUGGGCGAAGCUGAUCCAGCAAUGCCGCGUGUGUGAAGAAGGCCUUCGGGUUGUAAAGCACUUUUGUCCGGAAAGAAAUCCUUGGCUCUAAUACAGUCGGGGGAUGACGGUACCGGAAGAAUAAGCACCGGCUAACUACGUGCCAGCAGCCGCGGUAAUACGUAGGGUGCAAGCGUUAAUCGGAAUUACUGGGCGUAAAGCGUGCGCAGGCGGUUUGCUAAGACCGAUGUGAAAUCCCCGGGCUCAACCUGGGAACUGCAUUGGUGACUGGCAGGCUAGAGUAUGGCAGAGGGGGGUAGAAUUCCACGUGUAGCAGUGAAAUGCGUAGAGAUGUGGAGGAAUACCGAUGGCGAAGGCAGCCCCCUGGGCCAAUACUGACGCUCAUGCACGAAAGCGUGGGGAGCAAACAGGAUUAGAUACCCUGGUAGU